rnacentral:rRNA from 1 species
GACGAACGCUGGCGGCGUGCUUAACACAUGCAAGUCGAACGGAAAGGCCCUGCUUUUGUGGGGUGCUCGAGUGGCGAACGGGUGAGUAACACGUGAGUAACCUGCCCUUGACUUUGGGAUAACUUCAGGAAACUGGGGCUAAUAUCGGAUAGGAGCUCCUGCUGCAUGGUGGGGGUGGGAAAGUUUCGGCGGUUGGGGAUGGACUCGCGGCUUAUCAGCUUGUUGGUGGGGUAGUGGCUUACCAAGGCUUUGACGGGUAGCCGGCCUGAGAGGGUGACCGGCCACAUUGGGCCUGAGAUACGGCCCAGACUCCUACGGGAGGCAGCAGUGGGGAAUAUUGCACAAUGGGCGGAAGCCUGAUGCAGCAACGCCGCGUGCGGGAUGACGGCCUUCGGGGUGUAAACCGCUUUCGCCUGUGACGAAGCGUGAGUGACGGUAAUGGGUAAAGAAGCACCGGCUAACUACGUG